AAAAUCCGUCGCUUUUAAAAUCGUGAGGGUUCAAGUCCCU
rnacentral:tRNA from 1 species